rnacentral:rRNA from 1 species
AAUAUUGUACAAUGGGCGAAAGCCUGAUGUACCAACGCCGCGUGAUUGAUGACGGCCUUCGGGUCGUAAAGCUCUUUGAUCAGGGAUGAUAAUGACAGUAUCUGAUAAUCAAGCCACGGCUAACUACGUGACACCAGCCGCGGUAAUACGUAGGUGGCGAGCGUUGUCCGGAAUUACUGGGCGUAAAGGAUGCGUAGGUGGAUAUUUAAGUGGGAUGAGAAAUCCCCGGGCUCAACCCGGGAACUGCAUUCCAAACUGGAUAUCUAGAGUGCAGGAGAGGAAAGCGGAAUUCCUAGUGUAGCGGUGAAAUGCGUAGAUAUUAGGAGGAACACCAGUGGCGAAGGCGGCUUUCUGGACUGUAACUGACACUGAGGCAUGAAAGCGUGGGUAGCAAACAGG